rnacentral:rRNA from 1 species
GAUGAACGCUGGCGGCGUGCUUAACACAUGCAAGUCGAACGGAAAGGCUCCUGCUUGCAGGGGUACUCGAGUGGCGAACGGGUGAGUAACACGUGGGUGAUCUGCCCUGCACUUCGGGAUAAGCCUGGGAAACUGGGUCUAAUACCGGAUAGGACGAUGGUUUGGAUGCCAUUGUGGAAAGUUUUUCGGUGUGGGAUGAGCUCGCGGCCUAUCAGCUUGUUGGUGGGGUAAUGGCCUACCAAGGCGUCGACGGGUAGCCGGCCUGAGAGGGUGUACGGCCACAUUGGGACUGAGAUACGGCCCAGACUCCUACGGGAGGCAGCAGGGGGGAAUAUUGCACAAUGGGCGCAAGCCUGAUGCAGCGACGCCGCGUGGGGGAUGACGGCCUUCGGGUUGUAAACUCCUUUCGCUAGGGACGAAGCGCAAGUGACGGUACCUGGAGAAGAAGCACCGGCUAACUACGUG